AUUGCUGCUCCAUUUGUGGGUGAACAAAACAGGUCAAUUUAUAAUGCUCAUCUGCACACAAACUCAGUGUGGGAAGAGUAUUGUCAUUAAGAUGUAUAAAUUGAAGCUGGGAAUUUGGCUGUAGCGCAUUGUGCUGGAUGAUAAGACAGGAGUGGGACAGAGCUGCAAAGGGAACACUGUGAUUCAUCAGGAUGAAAGAGUCGCAGUUGGUAUUAGUCACUAUGAUAUCUUUAGUUAUUGCUUGCGUGGCGGCUCAGUCGUCCAGGGAAGGUGAAUGGAAGUCAUUGGAAAACCCGUACAACAGAGAUCUGUUCUUCAAGUUCUUGAAAUCCUAUAUUACUGGGAGGGGAAGCCACCUGAUGAACCCUGGGACAAAGGAUAAAGCUGUGAAUGACUUGC